UGUCUGAGAUUCUUCUAACCGCAACUCAAGGCAGGCUGCAUAAUCUUCUAUCAAGCUGUUUGCAGCAUUAGAUUUUAGCAGUAGCUGAACAAGCCCAACCAUCCGAGAGCUUGCCUUAGAAUACUCAUGAUUUUGAUAGAGGACUGCUGAAUUUUUGGCUGAAAAUCAUAUCUGACAUACUCCAACAAAGCCACUAUUUGAUUGUGAUCAUGGGAGAGUAUAAUAUCCAAUGGCUGCAAGCAGAUUAUCAAAAAGGAAAUUGCAUCUCAGUGAAAGGAUAAGUUCCCAUCAAAUGACAACAAAUGCUAAAUCAUGUAUACAAGGGUAA